AGAGUUUGAUCCUGGCUCAGAACGAACGCUGGCGGCGUGCUUAACACAUGCAAGUCGAGUGCGCGCCUGUAGCAAUACAGGUGGCGCACGGCGCACGGGUGCGUAACACGUGGGUAACCUGCCCUUUGGUGGGGAAUAACUCCGCGAAAGCGAAGCUAACUCCGCAUAAGAUCCGCAAGGAUGAAAGCCGAAAGGCGCCGAUGGAGGGGCCCGCGCACGAUUAGCUAGUUGGUAGGGUAAUGGCCUACCAAGGCUUUGAUCGUUAGCUGGUCUGAGAGGAUGGCCAGCCACACUGGAACUGAGACACGGUCCAGACUCCUACGGGAGGCAGCAGUGGGGAAUCUUGCACAAUGGGCGAAAGCCUGAUGCAGCGACGCCGCGUGGGGGAUGAAGCUUUUCGGAGUGUAAACCCCUUUCGAUCCGGACGAAUGCCCGCAAGGGAUUGACGGUACGGAUAUAAGAAGCCCCGGCUAACUACGUGCCAGCAGCCGCGGUAAUACGUAGGGGGCCAGCGUUGUUCGGAAUUACUGGGUGUAAAGGGUUCGUAGGCGGUGCGGCAAGUUGGGAGUGAAAUCUCUGGGCUCAACCCAGAGGCUGCUUCCAAAACUGCCGUGCUUGAGUGUGGGAGAGGCGCGUGGAAUUGCAGGUGUAGCGGUGAAAUGCGUAGAUAUCUGCAGGAACACCCGUGGCGAAAGCGGCGCGCUGGACCACUACUGACGCUGAAGAACGAAAGCUAGGGGAGCAAACAGGAUUAGAUACCCUGGUAGUCCUAGCCCUAAACGAUCAGGACUUGGGGUGCCACCCGUUCGGGUGUCGUCCCGGAGCUAACGCGUUAAGUCCUGCACCUGGGGAGUACGUCGCAAGACUGAAACUCAAGGAAUUGACGGGGGCCCGCACAAGCGGUGGAACAUGUGGUUCAAUUCGACGCUACGCGAGGAACCUUACCUGGGCUCG
rnacentral:rRNA from 1 species